AACGAACGCUGGCGGCAUGCCUAACACAUGCAAGUCGAACGAGACCUUCGGGUCUAGUGGCGCACGGGUGCGUAACGCGUGGGAAUCUGCCCUUGGGUUCGGAAUAACAGUUGGAAACGACUGCUAAUACCGGAUGAUGACGUAAGUCCAAAGAUUUAUCGCCCAGGGAUGAGCCCGCGUAGGAUUAGCUAGUUGGUGGGGUAAAGGCCUACCAAGGCGACGAUCCUUAGCUGGUCUGAGAGGAUGAUCAGCCACACUGGGACUGAGACACGGCCCAGACUCCUACGGGAAGCAGCAGUGGGGAAUAUUGGACAAUGGGCGAAAGCCUGAUCCAGCAAUGCCGCGUGAGUGAUGAAGGCCUUAGGGUUGUAAAGCUCUUUUACCCGGGAUGAUAAUGACAGUACCGGGAGAAUAAGCCCCGGCUAACUCCGUG
rnacentral:rRNA from 1 species